rnacentral:tRNA from 1 species
GGCUUCGUGGUGUAGUAGUCAGCACGCUGGGCUCAUAUUCCAGAGGUGCGUGGUUCGAGUACUGGCGAAGGCG